rnacentral:rRNA from 1 species
AGAUUGAACGCUGGCGGCAUGCCUAACACAUGCAAGUCGAACGGGAGUAGCAAUACUCUAGUGGCGGACGGGUGAGGAAUACGUAGGAAUUUGCCCUUAAGUGGGGGAUAACCCGGGGAAACCCGGAUUAAUACCGCAUGACCUCGAAAGAGCAAAGUGGGGGAUCGCAAGACCUCACGCUUUUGGAGAAGCCUACGUCGGAUUAGCUAGUUGGUGAGGUAAUGGCUCACCAAGGCGACGAUCCGUAACUGGUCUGAGAGGAUGAUCAGUCACACCGGAACUGAGACACGGUCCGGACUCCUACGGGAGGCAGCAGUGGGGAAUAUUGGACAAUGGGCGCAAGCCUGAUCCAGCAAUGCCGCGUGUGUGAAGAAGGCCUUCGGUUGUAAAGCGACUUUAAGUUAGGGAAGAAAAAACUACGACUCUAACAACAGUGAGUACUUGACGGUACCGAAC